GCGCAAUGGGCGAAAGCCUGACGCAGCAACGCCGCGUGGGGGAUGACGGCCUUCGGGUUGUAAACCUCUUUCGACAGGGACGAAGCUUUCGGGUGACGGUACCUGUAGAAGAAGCACCGGCUAACUACGUGCCAGCAGCCGCGGUAAUACGUAGGGUGCGAGCGUUGUCCGGAUUUAUUGGGCGUAAAGAGCUCGUAGGCGGUUUGUCGCGUCGGCCGUGAAAACCUGCAGCUUAACUGUGGGCGUGCGGUCGAUACGGGCAGACUUGAGUUCGGCAGGGGAGACUGGAAUUCCUGGUGUAGCGGUGAAAUGCGCAGAUAUCAGGAGGAACACCGGUGGCGAAGGCGGGUCUCUGGGCCGAUACUGACGCUGAGGAGCGAAAGCAUGGGGAGCGAACAGGAUUAGAUACCCUGGUAGUCCACGCCGUAAACGUUGGGCGCUAGGUGUGGGGACCAUUCCACGGUUUCUGUGCCGCAGCUAACGCAUUAAGCGCCCCGCCUGGGGAGUACGGCCGCAAGGCU
rnacentral:rRNA from 1 species